rnacentral:rRNA from 1 species
UAGGGAAUAUUAGUAAUGGGCGAAAGCCUGAACUAGCAACGCCGCGUGUGCGAAGAAGGCCCUCGGGUUGUAAAGCACUUUUUGAGAGGAUGAGGAAGGACGGUACUCUCAGAAUAAGUCUCGGCUAACUACGUGCCAGCAGCCGCGGUAACACGUCGGAGGCAAACGUUAUCCGGAUUUACUGGGCGUAAAGCGCGUGUAGGUGGUUAGGUAAGUAGGGCGUGAAAGCUCCUGGCUCAACUGGGCGAGGCCGUCCUAAACUGCCGAACUAGAGGAUGGUAGAGGGAGGUGGAAUUCCGGGUGUAGCGGUGGAAUGCGCAGAUAUCCGGAGGAACACCAGUGGCGAAAGCGGCCUCCUGGACCAUUCCUGACACUCAGACGCGAAAGCUAGGGUAGCAAACGG